AGUGAACGCUGGCGGUAGGCCUAACACAUGCAAGUCGAACGGCAGCACAGUAAGAGCUUGCUCUUACGGGUGGCGAGUGGCGGACGGGUGAGGAAUACAUCGGAAUCUACUUUUUCGUGGGGGAUAACGUAGGGAAACUUACGCUAAUACCGCAUACGACCUACGGGUGAAAGCAGGGGAUCUUCGGACCUUGCGCGAUAGAAUGAGCCGAUGCCGGAUUAGCUAGUUGGCGGGGUAACGGCCCACCAAGGCGACGAUCCGUAGCUGGUCUGAGAGGAUGAUCAGCCACACUGGAACUGAGACACGGUCCAGACUCCUACGGGAGGCAGCAGUGGGGAAUAUUGGACAAUGGGCGCAAGCCUGAUCCAGCCAUACCGCGUGGGUGAAGAAGGCCUUCGGGUUGUAAAGCCCUUUUGUUGGGAAAGAAAAGCAGCAGGUUAAUACCCCGCUGUUCUGACGGUACCCAAAGAAUAGGCACCGGCUAACUUCGUG
rnacentral:rRNA from 1 species